GACGUAGGGGGCAAGCGUUGUCCGGAUUUAUUGGGCGUAAAGAGCUCGUAGGCGGCUCAGUAAGUCGGAUGUGAAAACUCCAGGCUCAACCUGGAGACGCCAUUCGAUACUGCUGUGGCUAGAGUCCAGUAGGGGAGUGUGGAAAUUCCUGGGUGUAGCGGGUGAAAUGCGCAGAGUAUCAAGGAGGAACACCGGUGGCGAAGGCGGGGUCUC
rnacentral:rRNA from 1 species